UCAGGCAAGUGGACAGAGAUAACAACCAGGGAUUCAGACAUUUAGACCUAUUCUGUAAACAACAAUAAUAACCUGCACUGAACAUUUUGUUUCUUAAACACUGUGAUCUGAAUAGCAACAAUUGCAAAACUACUAAGAUGUAGGCUAUAUAUUAUUUAGACUAUAGAAGUAGUCACUAUUUUUGACUGAAAACUCAAAUGAUUUGUUAUUGCAUUCCCUCAGAUAUUAAUGAUUGUAUGUUAAAGUACCUAUCCCGAACACAAACUGGAAAUGGACAUUCCCUCCCCGCUUCGCUCCCCUUUGAGCAUGCCUGAUAUUAAGAAAGUGAAGAUAAGUUCUCCUAAACACACUCCUGAUGCUGAAUACCUCUUAAGGAGAAGGGGUGGGAUGGCAGAAAGUCUUGAGGAGACUGCAAAGCCAACAUUGGAUACAGUCUGGCUGAAAUCAAGAAAUAAUACAGAUGACGACAGAAAAUCUAACAACCCAUUUGUGCUUCCAAUGGAUCGUAACAUCUUCAAAAAGAGAGAGAUUGAAUCUGUAAUCAAACAACAAGAGAAGAAGUUCUUCAGCAGCCUGCCGACCCAGAUGAAGAGUACCUACCUGUCCCGACUCAGGUGCCGCUCUGCCCCCAUGAGGAGUGCUGUGGAGGACACAAUCCCAGAACCAGAGAAAUGCAGACGGGAAAAAACGACAUGGGCCACCGUGGUCACUAAAAGCUGCAGUCAAGAGAGGGAGAACAUUAGGGACUACUUAUCUAAACAGCGGGAAAAGUUUAUGCAGCAGUACUCUCUGUCAGUGAAGCAAGACACCAUCAAGAAGCUGGAGAAGGACACGGUGAUAGAGCUUAAGUUGAUCAGACACGCUGAGAAACAUCUGCAACAGGACUCAGUCGCCUUUGAAAAGUUCAUCAAGGAAAACGACCAGAGCUCAGUGGAAGCUGUCAAGUUGGCAGAGAAAGAGACUAUGCUGAAAAUGGAGAAAACAGCAGAAAUUAAAAAAGUGACAGUACAAAUGAUGGCGAUGAAAAGGUACUGUAUCAUGUACGCUGUACUAGAAAGGAAAAUAUCAAAAUGUGUCUCCUUCGAGCCGGAUUUGAACCAGCGACCUAAGGAUUUCCGCUUUGAUUCCAACUACAGUCCUCCGCUCUACCAACUGAGCUAUCGAAGGGACGCUGAAUAACAUGAAAAAAAUAGGGCAUUUAAACUUGCUAUCAGAGGAACUCGACAGUUGUGAAGUAUUCUCCCCCCCAGUAACGCUGCACGGUCUUAACAUAUUUGACUACUGUAGCUAAUGUUAGUAGUGAAAACUACCUAACCACUUUACAUUUUUUCAGAAUGGAUGAGCGAGCAUGCGCGUUAGCUAGGCUACGUUUAGAGAACACGCCGCCGUCGCGCUGAACUCAUUUCUUUCCAUUUGGGGAGUGGGGUGGAGUCGACAUGUGUUUUUUUUAAUUCAGUGGUAGUAAAUGUCCUCCCACAUAAGGCAAGCAUAUCCCCUUUAGCGACAUCUCAAAGUAUCAAGAAAUACUGAAGGAGUACCAGACCUACAAAACGUUUCUCAUGGCCGUCGGACCCAUGGAGUGGCGUGAGGAACAGAAACGCAAGAGGGAGGACAGGAGAGCAACCAAGCAGAAAGAGAAUUCAAACAUUUUCUGUCUUCCUUCAUCGGUCAAAGUGGCAAAGUCAGCAGCAUACUUCACCACCAGGAGAGACAGGGGUUCACCAUCCCUGAGGUGCCAGAGACCGCAGAGACCUCAGACAGUGACGAGGAGCCAGAGUUGUGUUACUCCAACCCCAGGGACAU